UACGGGGGGGAACGCGAAGAACCUUACCUACUCUUGACAUCCAGAGAACUUAGCAGAGAUGCUUUGGUGCCUUCGGGAACUCUGAGACAGGUGCUGCAUGGCUGUCGUCAGCUCGUGUUGUGAAAUGUUGGGUUAAGUCCCGCAACGAGCGCAACCCUUAUCCUUUGUUGCCAGCGGUUCGGCCGGGAACUCAAAGGAGACUGCCAGUGAUAAACUGGAGGAAGGUGGGGAUGACGUCAAGUCAUCAUGGCCCUUACGAGUAGGGCUACACACGUGCUACAAUGGCAUAUACAAAGAGAAGCGACCUCGCGAGAGCAAGCGGACCUCAUAAAGUAUGUCGUAGUCCGGAUUGGAGUCUGCAACUCGACUCCAUGAAGUCGGAAUCGCUAGUAAUCGUAGAUCAGAUGCAUGAGCU
rnacentral:rRNA from 1 species